AAUUGCAAACUUUCAGAGCUUUAGAACUAUUCGUUGUGAGCGCUAACUAAUAUUUAAGUUGUCAUAACUCAUGUGUUGUAAAUCAAAAGGAUUAUGUUUUAAUGUUAUCGCGUUAAUCGGAUUUGUGGGUCAAGUUGAAAAUAUUGCUUUGAAUGAUGUUUGCGUAGAUAUUUGGUCAAAGUUCUGUCACACAAAUGGAAAUAUUAAAAUUUUAAUACGAAAAUUGACAUCAAAGUGAAUCAAGAUUGAAGUUUUCAUUGACAACAAGAACAAAAAUUGUUAACGGAUAUGUAAAGCCGUAUAUAGCCAAUAAGGCGCCUCAAGCCUAUCAACGAAGACAACAUCAACGUCAGGAACCUCAAAAACAAAAUGUCACUGCAAAUAAGCAUAAAAAAG